AUUGAACGCUGGCGGCAUGCCUUACACAUGCAAGUCGAACGGUAACAGGUCUUCGGAUGCUGACGAGUGGCGAACGGGUGAGUAAUACAUCGGAACGUGCCUAGUAGUGAGGGAUAACUACUCGAAAGAGUGGCUAAUACCGCACGAGAUCUACGGAUGAAAGCAGGGGAUCGCAAGACCUUGUGCUACUAGAGCGGCCGAUGGCAGAUUAGGUAGUUGGUGGGAUAAAAGCUUACCAAGCCGACGAUCUGUAGCUGGUCUGAGAGGACGAUCAGCCACACUGGGACUGAGACACGGCCCAGACUCCUACGGGAGGCAGCAGUGGGGAAUUUUGGACAAUGGGCGAAAGCCUGAUCCAGCAAUGCCGCGUGCAGGAUGAAGGCCUUCGGGUUGUAAACUGCUUUUGUACGGAACGAAAAGCCCCGGGUUAAUACCCUGGGGUCAUGACGGUACCGUAAGAAUAAGCACCGGCUAACUACGUGCCAGCCGCCGCGGUAA
rnacentral:rRNA from 1 species